rnacentral:rRNA from 1 species
GACAGAGGGGGCAAGCGUUGCUCGGAAUCACUGGGCGUAAAGGGCGCGUAGGCGGGAUGGCAAGUCGGUCGUGAAAUCUCUCGGCUCAACCGAGAAACGUCGGCCGAUACUGCCGUUCUUGAGGGAUGCAGAGGAGACUGGAAUUCCCGGUGUAGCGGUGAAAUGUGUAGAGAUCGGGAGGAACACCGGUGGCGAAGGCGGGUCUCUGGGCAUUUCCUGACGGCUGAGGCGCGAAAGCGUGGGGAGCAAACGGG